GCAGGCGGUCUGUCAAGUCGGAUGUGAAAUCCCCGGGCUCAACCUGGGAACUGCAUUCGAAACUGGCAGGCUUGAGUCUUGUAGAGGGGGGUAGAAUUCCAGGUGUAGCGGUGAAAUGCGUAGAGAUCUGGAGGAAUACCGGUGGCGAAGGCGGCCCCCUGGACAAAGACUGACGCUCAGGUGCGAAAGCGUGGGGAGCAAACAGGAUUAGAUACCCUGGUAGUCCACGCCGUAAACGAUGUCUACUUGGAGGUUGUGCCCUUGAGGCGUGGCUUCCGGAGCUAACGCGUUAAGUAGACCGCCUGGGGAGUACGGCCGCAAGGUUAAAACUC
rnacentral:rRNA from 1 species